rnacentral:rRNA from 1 species
GACGAACGCUGGCGGCGUGCUUAACACAUGCAAGUCGAACGAAGUGGCGAACGGGUGAGUAAUACGUGGGUAACCUGCCCUCCUGUUUGGGAUAAGCCUUGGAAACGGGGUCUAAUACCGAAUCAAGGGGGAUGGGCUCGCGGCCUAUCAGCUUGUGGGUGGGGUGAUGGCCUAACAAGGCGGUGACGGGUAGCCGGCCUGAGGGGGUGACCGGCCGCAUUGGGAGUAAGGUACGGCCCGGACUGCGACAGUGGGCAGCAGUGGGGGAUAGUGGACAAUGGGCGAAAGCCUGGUGCAGCGAGGGCGGGUGGGGGAUGAAGGCUGUCGGGUUGUAAACCUCUUGCGAUGGCGAACGGGUAGGUGGAGAAGAAGCGCCGGCUAACUACGUGCCAGCAGCCGCGGUAAUUC